CUUAUUUCAAAACAUUUCAAAAUGCCCGCUCCUCUCUCUCUCUCUCUCUCUCUCUCUCUUCGGCGAUUCCAGAUCUGGAUCUAGGGUUUUUCUCCAUCACGUUUCUACUACUCCAAUUCCUCAUGGAAAUCAUACAGUCCUCUCAAAAUCAAACUCAAGUCUAGGUUUUGAACUUCACGGAGAGUUGAAGAUGAUGCAAGCUGUUGUUUUAAUUGGUGGUGGUUAGCAACGAUAGAGAUGGUGGUGGUCUGCGGCUUGUGGUGGUAAUGGUUAGCGUCAACAGAUUCUGGUGACCCAACCUAGGGUUUAGAGUUUCGACCAGAUUCUGGUAGCCCUAUAUAGGGUUCUGACCAUAACCCUAAUCCGGUGAAAGUUGUAGAUCUGGUCAGUAAGGGAAUGACAACGAAUCUGCUUUCAGUUGCAAACUCUGUAGUAUCAUUAGAUAAAGAUUGAAACAUGAAGAUUUCUCCCAGAUCCGAUUUAGGUCUCGCAGAUCUGUCAUUAAUCGGAAGGUUACGAAUCAAAAGAUGUACCUCAGCUUCUGGACAUCAUCUUUACCAAAGAGUGGCGGGUGGGGUUCACCAGACCAAACAUGUACACAGGUAGGCUCAUUGCCCUUAUUUUUCAGGGGGUCAUUGCCGAGCAGAGUUUACUCAUGCUUCUUCAUGGUAGAUGAUUCGACUAUUAAGUUAAUGCAUUAGGUACAAGUUCAUUAAAGCGGUGAAGUUUUGGGUUGCUUGUGUGGAGACUUGAUUAGCAUGGGUGGCCCGACAUCAACAACAGGCGGCGGCUAGGGUUCCGACCACCCGGUAAACGGACUUGCAUCGGAAGAGUUUGCAGCUCGUAAUGAUUUGGUUCGCAAUACCUGAUAGGGGGUGCUGUUGCGCCCAAUCAGACUGGAGGUUGGGCUGCGUCAGUAUCUCGUACAAAUAAUAUCAAGUUUGAUUCAGGUGAUCUGUUUGUUCAGUUUGCCGGAUGUAUAUAAAUGGACGAUUUGAUUAUGAUGAAUACUUUCAGCAAAGUGAAGAGUCGAGCCAAUUCAGGAAUGAAUAUGAAAUGAGAAAGAUGAAGCAGGCUUGAUCAAGGCUUGGAUAUGAAAUCAGAAGGUCUCGAUACUUUGAAAAACAUGGCACAUACGAGAGGAGGAUCAAACCUUCUAACCAAGUUCCGUUGAAGAUUCCAGCAACUCCAUUAAGGUUGUUUCACAAUUUUAUUAUAGGUUUGUUUUUUCACUGGAGAACAAACGACACCCAUAAAGAUUGAAUCUUUAGGUGAUAAAGAUCAUCUUUUGUUGGUAAAGUUGGAGUCCUUUUAUGUAAUGUGAAGUGGGUAUUGUUGUUUCAAGAUUUUGAAGGUGUUUGAUUUGAAGUGGGUCCUGAUUGAACAGAUCUUGAUGUUGUUAAUAGAUGGUUCUAGAAGGUCUAUGCUUUUUGUGUGUGUGGAAGUUGGUGUGUGUGAAUUCGGAGAAGGUAAAUUUAGUGUUUAUAACCUUAUGUGUGAGCUCGGUUUGUUCAGGCGGGAAUAACUCAUUUCACAAGUGUUUUUAGAGUUUCUUUGCUUUAACAAUGGCAAGAUUAGUAGUGUGUCAAUCAAGCUCGUUUGCACCCGAUACAAGUAAAGCCAAAAGCUUUGCGGUCUCAGUUUUUGCUAUUCCAGAUCGGAAGUCAGAGAUUGACCCAAGUGAUGAAUCUGGUGUGACUUUGGACACGGUCAAAGGGGAAAUCAAGCUCGUUUGCACCCUAUACAAGUAAAGCCAAAAGCUUUGCGGUCUCAGUUUUUGCGAUUCUAGAUCGGAAGUCAGAGAUUGACCCAAGUGAUGAAUCUGGUGUGACUUUGGACUCGGUCAAAGGGGAAAUCGACAUCGAGCUUAGACACAUUAGUUUUAAAUAUCCGGUCCAGACCUGAUGUUGAGAUAUUUGGUGACAUAUGCUUAAAAAAAAAUCCUUUUGUGCAAAA